GACAGAGGGUGCAAACGUUGUUCGGAAUUACUGGGCGUAAAGCGUGUGUAGGCGGCUACGCAAGUCGGAUGUGAAAGCCCCGGGCUCAACCCGGGAAGUGCACCCGAAACUGCGUGGCUCGAGUACCGGAGAGGUUGGUGGAAUUCUCGGUGUAGAGGUGAAAUUCGUAGAUAUCGAGAGGAACACCGGUGGCGAAGGCGGCCCCCUGGACAAAGACUGACGCUCAGGUGCGAAAGCGUGGGGAGCAAACAGG
rnacentral:rRNA from 1 species